rnacentral:rRNA from 1 species
CCUACGGGAGGCAGCAGUGAGGAAUAUUGGUCAAUGGGCGCGAGCCUGAACCAGCCAAGUAGCGUGAAGGAUGACUGCCCUACGGGUUGUAAACUUCUUUUAUAAAGGAAUAAAGUGAGGCACGUGUGCCUUUUUGUAUGUACUUUAUGAAUAAGGAUCGGCUAACUCCGUGCCAGCAGCCGCGGUAAUACGGAGGAUCCGAGCGUUGUCCGGAUUUAUUGGGUUUAAAGGGAGCGUAGAUGGGUUGUUAAGUUAGUUGUGAAAGUUUUCGGCUCAACCGUAAAAUUGCAAUUGAUAAUGGCAGCAUUGAGUACAGUUGAGGUAGGCGGAAUUCGUGGUGUAGCGGUGAAAUGCUUAGAUAUCACGAAGAACUCCGAUUGCGAAGGCAGCUUACUAAACUGCCACUGACAUUGAUGCACGAAAGCGUGGGGAUCAAACAGGAUUAGAUACCCGUGUAGUC